rnacentral:rRNA from 1 species
UACAGAGGUCCCAAGCGUUGUUCGGAUUCACUGGGCGUAAAGGGUGCGUAGGCGGUCGGGUAAGUCUGACGUGAAAUCUCCAAGCUCAACUUGGAAAUUGCGUCGGAUACUAUUCGGCUCGAGGAAUGGAGGGGAGACUGGAAUUCUCGGUGUAGCAGUGAAAUGCGUAGAUAUCGAGAGGAACACCAGUGGCGAAGGCGAGUCUCUGGACAUUUCCUGACGCUGAGGCACGAAAGCCAGGGGAGCAAACGGG